GGCCCAAUGGUCUAGUAGUAUGAUACACGCUUCGGGAGUCUCCCGCUGGCAAAUCGUCAGUCAAUUGUGUGUGGUCCCGGGUUCAAUUCCCGGUUGGGCCC